CCCUCAGCAACCUGGAUCCACCGAUCGAAUUCGCAGAUCGGUUUACGUAGAGCUGGAAACGGGUUGUCGACUUCGCUCGGAUCGAUCUCCCAAAAAGAGAUGAAUUCAUUGCAGCUGAUGGCCUUGAAGAGACGUCAUGACAGUAAGAUGAUGUAUGGAGAUGGCAAGAUCUCACGAACGCGGCGUGAAAGCCCGACGUUCCAUCUGGUUUGCUCUAAUGGAGGGAACAUGUUUUGCAGUAUGUAUUUUCUUUGUAAUGUUUACAUUAACUUAUUUUCAAACCAGCAAUGGGACGAUGAAUUGAUCUCCAGACUUGGUGUUAUCCAAUGUUUAUUUAAAAGUAUAAAUCAUACUGGUGAAAAAAAGAUUCAGGAUAUUGCCUUUCUUAUUUGCUAAACAGCUGUUCUCUUCCAUUUCUCAGUUUUCACCAUCAUAUUUUGCUUGUAUAGCUUAGAUUUUACACUCAUGGGAUUCUGAAGUUAGCAUGUCUGAAGAUUCUGUGUACUUGUCACCAAAGGCAUUGGUUCCUGAGUGCUCGCACUCUAGUCAUCUAAGUGAAUAUCGUCGAGAACUAUUGGAGAUAUUUUACUGGUAGAAGCACACAACGUAUUCAAUAUCUCUACCUCACCUGCAAUUGAUGGAAUUGUUUUUUUGGCUGAGAUAGGAUCGGUGUGGAAACUAUGAUGAUUAUGUUGUGAUUUGAGUGCAUAAUUUCUGUUUUGGAAAGUGAUUUGAAAAUUUGAAAGAGAUUUCAUAUUUUAGGGAAUUUUCCAAGGACUCAGAGGUAUAGAAAUGGAAUUGAUUUUCUCUGCUUUCUGUUUCAUGUAACUUGGAUGAUGAUGCGGUUCAAGGAUUGAAAUUUUCAAUUUUGUGUGUGAUUUGAAUUGGU